AUACGUAGGUGACAAGCGUUAUCCGGAUUUACUGGGCGUAAAGGGCGUGUAGGCGGUCUUGCAAGUCAGAAGUGAAAUUCCUGAGCUCAACUCGGGCGCUGCUUCUGAAACUGCAGGACUUGAGUGCUGGAGGGGAUAGCGGAAUUCCUAGUGGAGCGGUAAAAUGCGCAGAUAUUAGGAAGAACACCGGUGGCGAAGGCGGCUAUCUGGACAGUAACUUACGCGAAGGCGCGAAAGCGUGGGGGGCAAACAGGAUUAGAUACCCUGGUAUUCCACGCCGUAAACGAUGAAUACUAGGUGUAGGGGGUAUCGACUCCCUCUGUGCCGCAGUUAACACAAUAAGUAUUCCGCCUGGGGAGUACGGCCGCAAGGUUGAAACUCAAAGGAAUUGACGGGG
rnacentral:rRNA from 1 species